rfam:Gossypium raimondii Chr04_contig_1421, whole genome shotgun sequence.
UGCUAAAAAUUUCAUCUAUUUCUAUAGUUAAAAUCUGGCAUGAUUACCAGAAUAACCAGACAGUUAUGUGUGAUGGGUUAUGUGUGCUUUAUGCUGAUCUACAAUAACCAAUUUUUAACUGUAGAAAUAGGUUUUUGCCU